rnacentral:rRNA from 1 species
AGAGUUUGAUCUUGGCUCAGGACGAACGCUGGCGGCGUGCUUAAUACAUGCAAGUUGAACGAUGAUUUCCUGGUACUUGUAUCAGAAUGAAGAGUAGCGAACGGGUGAGUAACGCGUGGGUAACUUACCUCUUAGCGGGGGACAACCUAUUGGACAACGAUAGCUAAUACCGCAUAACAAUGCUUAACACAUGUUAAGGAUUUGAAAGUACCAAUUGGUACACUAGGAGAUGGACCCGCGUUGUAUUAGCUAGUUGGUAGUGUAAUGGACUACCAAGGCGAUGAUACAUAGCCGACCUGAGAGGGUGAUCGGCCACAUUGGGACUGAGACACGGCCCAAACUCCUACGGGAGGCAGCAGUAGGGAAUCCUCGGCAAUGGACGAAAGUCUGACCGAGCAACGCCGCGUGAGUGAAGAAGGUUUUCGGAUCGUAAAACUCUGUUGUUAGAGAAGAACGUUGUGUAGAGUGGAAAAUUACACAAGUGACGGUAUCUAACCAGAAAGGGACGGCUAACUACGUGCCAGCAGCCGCGGUCAUACGUAGGUCCCGAGCGUUGUCCGGAUUUAUUGGGCGUAAAGCGAGCGCAGGUGGUUUAAUAAGUCUGAUGUAAAAGGCAGUGGCUCAACCAUUGUGUGCAUUGGAAACUGUUAGACUUGAGUGCAGUAGAGGAGAGUGGAAUUCCAUGUGUAGCGGUGAAAUGCGUAGAUAUAUGGAGGAACACCGGUGGCGAAAGCGGCUCUCUGGACUGUAACUGACACUGAGGCUCGAAAGCGUGGGUAGCAAACAGGAUUAGAUACCCUGGUAGUCCACGCCGUAAACGAUGAGUGCUAGUUGUUUGGGACUAUCCAGCCCUAAGUGACGCAGCA